CUAUACAUGCAGUCGAGCGGACCGACGGGAGCUUGCUCCCUUAGGUCAGCGGCGGACGGGUGAGUAACACGUGGGUAACCUGCCUGUAAGACUGGGAUAACUCCGGGAAACCGGGGCUAAUACCGGAUGCUUGAUUGAACCGCAUGGUUCAAUCAUAAAAGGUGGCUUUUAGCUACCACUUACAGAUGGACCCGCGGCGCAUUAGCUAGUUGGUGAGGUAACGGCUCACCAAGGCGACGAUGCGUAGCCGACCUGAGAGGGUGAUCGGCCACACUGGGACUGAGACACGGCCCAGACUCCUACGGGAGGCAGCAGUAGGGAAUCUUCCGCAAUGGACGAAAGUCUGACGGAGCAACGCCGCGUGAGUGAUGAAGGUUUUCGGAUCGUAAAACUCUGUUGUUAGGGAAGAACAAGUACCGUUCGAAUAGGGCGGCACCUUGACGGUACCUAACCAGAAAGCCACGGCUAACUACGUGCCAGCAGCCGCGGUAAUACGUAGGUGGCAAGCGUUGUCCGGAAUUAUUGGGCGUAAAGCGCGCGCAGGCGGUUUCUUAAGUCUGAUGUGAAAGCCCCCGGCUCAACCGGGGAGGGUCAUUGGAAACUGGGGAACUUGAAUGCAGAAGAGGAGAGUGGAAUUCCACGUGUAGCGGUGAAAUGCGUAGAGAUGUGGAGGAACACCAGUGGCGAAGGCGACUCUCUGGUCUGUAACUGACGCUGAGGCGCGAAAGCGUGGGGAGCGAACAGGAUUAGAUACCCUGGUAGUCCACGCCGUAAACGAUGAGUGCUAAGUGUUAGAGGGUUUCCGCCCUUUAGUGCUGCAGCAAACGCAUUAAGCACUCCGCCUGGGGAGUACGGUCGCAAGACUGAAACUCAAAGGAAUUGACGGGGGCCCGCACAAGCGGUGGAGCAUGUGGUUUAAUUCGAAGCACG
rnacentral:rRNA from 1 species